rnacentral:rRNA from 1 species
GAACGCGAAGAACCUUACCAGGUCUUGACAUUGAUGGACAGAACUAGAGAUAGUUCCUCUUCUUCGGAAGCCAGAAAACAGGUGGUGCACGGUUGUCGUCAGCUCGUGUCGUGAGAUGUUGGGUUAAGUCCCGCAACGAGCGCAACCCCUAUCUUAUGUUGCCAGCACUUCGGGUGGGAACUCAUGAGAGACUGCCGCAGACAAUGCGGAGGAAGGCGGGGAUGACGUCAAAUCAUCAUGCCCCUUAUGACCUGGGCUACACACGUACUACAAUGGGAGUUAAUAGACGGAAGCGAAACCGCGAGGUGGAGCAAACCCGAGAAACACUCUCUCAGUUCGGAUCGUAGGCUGCAACUCGCUACGUGAAGUCGGAAUCGCUAGUAAUCGCAGGUCAGCAUACUGCGGUGAAUACGUUCCCGGGUCUUGUACACACC